rnacentral:tRNA from 1 species
AUUUAAAUAGCUUAAUUAGAGCGUAGCUCUGAAGAAGCUAAGGUAUAAUUUUUUUAUUUUAAAUA